rnacentral:tRNA from 1 species
UGGAGGCUGGUGGGACCACCCAGCGGGACUUCAAAUCCGAUUACGACGAAGAGGAGGAUACCACUGUGUUCGAU